GUCUACGGCCAUGCCACUCUGAAAAGCCCGUUCCUGUCCGAUCUCGGAGGCUAAACAGGGUUGGGCCUAGUUAGUACUUGAAUGGGAGACCACCUAGGAAGACCAGGUGCUGUAGGCU
ensembl:rRNA 5S_rRNA 5S ribosomal RNA